rnacentral:rRNA from 1 species
CUCGUGAGUGGCAAGCGUUGUCCGGAAUUACUGGGCGUAAAGAGCACGUAGGCGGUUUGGUAAGCGGCGGGUGAAAUCCCAGGGCUCAACCCUGGAACUGCUCGCCGAACUGCCAGGCUAGAGUACGGGAGAGGGCAGUGGAAUUCCUGGUGUAGCGGUGGAAUGCGUAUAUAUCAGGAGGAACACCCGUGGCGAAGGCUGCUGCCUGGAACGUUACUGACGCUGAGGUGCGAAAGCUAGGGGAGCGAACGGGAUUAGAUACCCCGGUAGUCCUAGCCGUAAACGAUGGACACUAGGUGUUGGAGGCAUCAACCCCUUCAGUGCUGUUAUGCUAACGCGUUAAGUGUCCCGCCUGGGGAGUACGGCCGCAAGGUUG